UGAUCCAUUUAGAUGAUGCAUUU
rnacentral:snRNA from 1 species